rnacentral:tRNA from 1 species
CACUAUGAAGCUAAACGUAGCAUUAACCUUUUAAGUUAAAGAUUAGGAGCUUAAACCUCCUCAUAGUGA